UACGUAGGGGGCUAGCGUUGUCCGGAAUCAUUGGGCGUAAAGAGCGUGUAGGCGGUCCGGUAAGUCGGCUGUGAAAGUCCAGGGCUCAACCCUGGGAUGCCGGUCGAUACUGCCGGGCUAGAGUUCCGAAAGAGGCGAGUGGAAUUCCCGUGGUGUGACGGUGGAAUGCGCAGAUAUCGAGGAGAACACAUGCGAAGGCAGCUCGCUGGGACGGUACUGACGCUGAGGCGCGAAAGCGUGGGGAGCGAACAGG
rnacentral:rRNA from 1 species